UGGGUAACAAUUCUAAAGUGA
ensembl:piRNA 21ur-2199 ncRNA